rnacentral:misc_RNA from 1 species
CAUUCGGUGCCGCGGGUGUGUCCGACGAAGCCGGUCUCGCGAAGUCCUACGCCGGCAUCCGCACGCUGCGUCUGGCGGACGGACCCGAUGAGGUUCACAACCGGGCCAUUGCGCGGCUUGAGCUUCGGAAGUAUUCCAAUCACUAACUGAAAUAGAAGAGAUUGGGAGACGUCGUGGCUGAGCAGGUAAGACAAGACGAAGAUUACUCAGGCACUAUGGAAGUCGAGGAACGUCAUCGGAUCGAUGACGUUCGCCUCGAUGCCUGGAUGCGUGAGAANGAUGCGUGAGAAUGUCGAGGGCUAUCAAGGUCCUUUGACCGUUCUUCAAUUCAAGGGCGGUCAGU